AGUUGGGUGGCUGAGAGUAUUUAGGCGAUAGAUUGUAAAUCUAUAUAGGGGAAGUUAUCCCCCUAACUA
rnacentral:tRNA from 1 species